rnacentral:misc_RNA from 1 species
GAUGAAGAACGUAGCGAAAUGCGAUACGUAGUGUGAAUUGCAGAAUUCAGUGAAUCAUCGAAUCUUUGAACGCACAUUGCACCUCUCGGUAUUCGGGGAGGUAUGCCUGUUCGAGCGUCAUUUGUACCCUCAAGCUCUGCUUGGUGUUGGGUGUUUGUUCCGCCUCUGUGUGUGAACUCGCCUCAAAACAAUUGGCAGCCGGCGUACUUGUUUCGGAGCGCAGCACAUUUUGCGAUCCAGAUCAACGUACAGCGGCAUCCAAGAAGCCUUAUUUAACGCUCUUGACCUCGGAUCAGGUAGGGAUACCCGCUGAACUUAAGCAUAUCAAUAAGCGGAGGA